UAUCUCUGUAGAGUCUGCAUAUCAAUAAGCGGAGGAAAAGUAAACUAACUAGGAUUCCCUCAGUAACGGCGAGUGAAGCGGGAAGAGCUCAAACUUGAAAUCUUCAAGGUUCUACCUUGACGAAUUGUAGUUUAAAGAAGUGUUUUCUGUUGGAGUUUUGGUAAAAGUUCUUUGGAAUAGGACAUCAUAGAGGGUGAGAAUCCCGUAUUUGACCAUUACUUUCCAGCGUUGUGAUACACUUUCAAAGAGUCGGAUUGUUUGGGAAUGCAGUCCAAAAUGGGUGGUAAAUUUCAUCUAAAGCUAAAUAUUGGCGAGAGACCGAUAGCGAACAAGUACCGUGAGGGAAAGAUGAAAAGAACUUUGAAAAGAGAGUUAAACAGUACGUGAAAUUGUCAAAAGGGAAGCGUUUGACACCAGUGUUGUUUUCUCGAAAAUCAAUUAAGAAUGGCAUGAUUUUGUGUUGUAUUGACUUUAUCAGCUUUCUGCACUCUUUUCUUGUCUUUUUUUAAUGCACUUUUCGUUUAACAAGUCAACAUCAAUUUCUUUUGUUGUAAAAGGGUCAUUGGAAGGUGGCUUUCUUUUCGGAGAAAGUGUUUAUAGCCUUUGGCCUCUGCAAUCGGAGAGAUUGAGGUCUGCAGCGUAGAUCCUUCGGGGUUAGAUACAUUUGUGCUAAGUUAUAGCCUUUCAUAGACAACUUGUUGACUAUGAUCAGUCAUGUAGCUUACUCGCUUAUGCUAUUUUACCUACGCUUAGGAUGUUGAAGAUGUAGCACAUCAU
rnacentral:rRNA from 1 species